AAGAGCUUGCUCUUCGGCGGUUAGCGGCGGACGGGUGAGUAACACGUAGGCAACCUGCCUGUACGACUGGGAUAACUCCGGGAAACCGGAGCUAAUACCGGAUACGUUUUUCAGACCGCAUGGUCUGAAAGAGAAAGACCUUUGGUCACGUACAGAUGGGCCUGCGGCGCAUUAGCUAGUUGGUGGGGUAACGGCCUACCAAGGCGACGAUGCGUAGCCGACCUGAGAGGGUGAUCGGCCACACUGGGACUGAGACACGGCCCAGACUCCUACGGGAGGCAGCAGUAGGGAAUCUUCCGCAAUGGACGAAAGUCUGACGGAGCAACGCCGCGUGAACGAUGAAGGUUUUCGGAUCGUAAAGUUCUGUUGUUAGGGAAGAACCGCCGGGAUGACCUCCCGGUCUGACGGUACCUAACGAGAAAGCCCCGGCUAACUACGUGCCAGCAGCCGCGGUAAUACGUAGGGGGCAAGCGUUGUCCGGAAUUAUUGGGCGUAAAGCGCGCGCAGGCGGCUUCUUAAGUCAGGUGUGAAAGCCCACGGCUCAACCGUGGAGGGCCACUUGAAACUGGGAGGCUUGAGUGCAGGAGAGGAGAGCGGAAUUCCACGUGUAGCGGUGAAAUGCGUAAAGAUGUGGAGGAACACCCGUGGCGAAAGGCGGCUCUCUGGCCUGUAACUGACGCUGAGGCGCGAAAGCGUGGGG
rnacentral:rRNA from 1 species